CGCUCCUGAGAGGAGGGACACGUGCCAUUCUCUUCUCUCCAGAGGUUCUUAGACAAAAUAAAAUUGACUUCGGGUGGGGAAAUGUAUCGUAAUGAUUCCCCAUCUGCUGAGAGGAAAUCGUGUUUCCCGAGAAUUUCUCCCUGCAAAGCUGCUGGAAUCUUCCCAGAGAGGGAGUUUCUCUGCUUUCUGGGAUUUAAUUUUCUGUUUUUCCAAACAGAGAUUUAGGAGGUGGAAGAUAUGAAGGUCACAGAAAACAUCCACUGGAGAAGAAUAUCCUGCUGGGUCAGGCGGUGCCUGCCUGGCCCUCUGGGGUCAGUUGUGAGAGCUGUCCUGACUUCUAACUGUCCCAGUUCUGAUAUGAAGUUCAAGAGCUGCUUUGGAGGGAUGGAGAGGAAAUCUUCCCGGGGUGGAUGGCUUUAUAUCAAAGUCCUCUCCAUUCCUGUUGUCUUCUGCUGGCUUCAGGGCAUCUGGAUUCCCAGAAGGAUGACCAAGGCUCAGAGGUUUCCUCAGACCAACCUCUCUGGAGGGCUCCCCCAAAGAGAAGUAUCUUGGAAUCGCCUUCCAUCCUAACCAAGAUGUUCAAUGACGUCCACAAUGUCCAUGAAGACGAGCUGAUGACCAGGUCAAAUACAGUGGUCAAUUAACGUUUAAACAUUAAAAUUACUCAUUCUCUCUUUUUUCUUUGAGUGGUCUGGAUC
rnacentral:lncRNA from 1 species